rnacentral:rRNA from 1 species
UGAGUAACGCGUGGAUAUCUACCUAUUAGUGGGGGACAACUACAGGAAACUGUAGCUAAUACCGCAUACGCACUACGGUGGAAAGCAGGGGACCUUUCGGGGCCUUGUGCUGAUAGAUGAGUCCGCGUCUGAUUAGUUAGUUGGUGGGGUAAAGGCCUACCAAGACGAUGAUCAGUAACUGGUUUGAGAGGAUGAUCAGUCACACUGGAACUGAGACACGGUCCAGACUCC